rnacentral:lncRNA from 1 species
GUUACAACUUUUUCUCCAAUCAUGGAGUGAUCCCACACAUUGGCAAUUUCUUUUGAAACUCUCUAUUCCUGAGAAGGCAAAACUCUUCUCCUGGCUCUGCUACCAUGACAGAAUACUGACGAAAGAGAACCUAGUUAAAAGAGAUGUCAACAUCACUAGAAGGUGUCCCCUCUGUAACGAGCAAGGAAAAUCCCUGAACUACCUUGUGACAUCUCGAAUC